AUGGCUUGGGGGGUGGAAGCUGUUCAGGAGUCUCAUGGCUUGGGGGGUGGAAGCUGUUCAGGAGUCUCAUGGCUUGGGGGGUGGAAGCUGUUCAGGAGUCUCAUGGCUUGGGGGUGGAAGCUGUUCAGGAGUCUCAUGGCUUGGGCGUGGAAGCUGUUCAGGAGUCUCAUGGCUUGGGGGGUGGAAGCUGUUCAGGAGUCUAAUGGCUUGUGGGGUGGAAGCUGUUCAGGAGUCUCAUGGCUUGGGGGGUGGAAGCUGUUCAGGAGUCUCAUGGCUUGGGGGGUGGAAGCUGUUCAGGAGUCUCAUGGCUUGGGGGGUGGAAGCUGUUCAGGAGUCUCAUGGCUUGGGGGGUGGAAGCUGUUCAGGAGUCUCAUGGCUUGGGGGGUGGAAGCUGUUCAGGAGUCUCAUGGCUUGGGGGGUGGAAGCUGUUCAGGAGUCUCAUGGCUUGGGGGGUGGAAGCUGUUCAGGAGUCUCAUGGCUUGGGGGGUGGAAGCUGUUCAGGAGUCUCAUGGCUUGGGGGGUGGAAGCUGUUCAGGAGUCUCAUGGCUUGGGGGGUGGAAGCUGUUCAGGAGUCUCAUGGCUUGGGGGGUGGAAGCUGUUCAGGAGUCUCAUGGCUUGGGGGUGGAAGCUGUUCAGGAGUCUCAUGGCUUGGGGGGUGGAAGCUGUUCAGGAGUCUCAUGGCUUGGGGGGUGGAAGCUGUUCAGGAGUCUCAUGGCUUGGGGUGGAAGCUGUUCAGGAGUCUCAUGGCUUGGGGGGUGGAAGCUGUUCAGGAGUCUCAUGGCUUGGGGGGUGGAAGCUGUUCAGGAGUCUCAUGGCUUGGGGGGUGGAAGCUGUUCAGUAGUCUCAUGGCUUGGGGGGUGGAAGCUGUUCAGGAGUCUCAUGGCUUGGGGGGUGGAAGCUGUUCAGGAGUCUCAUGGCUUGGGGGGUGGAAGCUGUUCAGUAGUCUCAUGGCUUGGGGGUGGAAGCUGUUCAGUAGUCUCAUGGCUUGGGGGGUGGAAGCUGUUAAGAAGUCUUUUGGACCUAGACUUAGCGGUCCGGUACCGUUUGCCGUUCGGUAGCAGAGAGAACAGUCUAUGA
rnacentral:lncRNA from 1 species